rnacentral:rRNA from 1 species
UACGUAGGGUGCAAGCGUUAAUCGGAAUUACUGGGCGUAAAGCGUGCGCAGGCGGUUUUGUAAGUCUGUCGUGAAAUCCCCGGGCUCAACCUGGGAAUUGCGAUGGAGACUGCAAGGCUAGAAUCUGGCAGAGGGGGGUAGAAUUCCACGUGUAGCAGUGAAAUGCGUAGAGAUGUGGAGGAACACCGAUGGCGAAGGCAGCCCCCUGGGUCAAGAUUGACGCUCAUGCACGAAAGCGUGGGGAGCAACAGGG